GCCGGGGGUCGUGGCGGGCCCUUGUGACCCAGCGAGUUGGGGGCGAAGGCGGACGGGGGGCGGGCGUGUGCCGACCGAAUGUCGCGACCAAGGGCCGCGUCGGCAGGGGCGGCCCGGGGGAGCCGGGGCCGUCCCGGGCGCAUAAUGCGGAGAGUAACGGCUCAGGCCCGAAAGGGAGCAGGCAAAAUCUCCCGCGCGGUCACAGUGGCUCCGAUAGCACUCUUUUUUGAUAAUUUUAAAUUGUAAUUUUUGAGUUGUUGAGAACAACUCCUAUUUUUGCACUUUU
rnacentral:SRP_RNA from 1 species